UAUUGUUAAAUGUCCUGGAAGACUGAAAUGCUGCAAAUGAAAGCUCAAUCGUCUAGAUUUCAGUCAUGAAGAAGUCAGAAGUCAUGUCCUUGACGUCAAGACACCAGAACAACAUUUCUUCACACCUGCGACUCUCUGACUAAGUGACAGAGGGCUCUGACAUUGACCUGUGGGCAGAGCACAAGCCAUUCUAGUUCAGAUAAGCUUUGAUCCAAACCACCAUAAUGAGGGAGAGGGUCAUCCGCUGUGGGAGGUGACAUACAUGUCACACUGGGACACCUGCUGUCUUUAUAAAGUGUCAGAAAUGAUCAGUCUGCGUAGUUUGGUCCACUCCCAGUGUAUAUUCAAGGUGCUGUUUCAAGGUGUUGAAGAGUUUCGUGGUGUCAAUAUUACACUGCACUUGCUCCAGGCAAGCAAGUACAGCAUUUCAUUGGACACGUAUCAGGUUUCCCCAAGGUGAGGAUGAGGAUGAGCCUACCCAUGUGGUGUAUGCUGGUCCUGCUUCUCUGUUCGAGCAGUAAAGGGAUGGUUGUGGAUAAAGUCAGACUGGCAAGAUUGUCUUCACAUCAGAUGGAAAAAGGACAGAAAACCAUCCAAAACCUCAAAAGGCAUUCAGAUGGGACAUUCAGCAGCGACUUCACCAACUAUCUUGAUAAGAUUAAGGCUAAAGAUUUUGUGGAGUGGCUGGCCAGCACCAAACCAGAAGGGUGAGCUGAAAAGCAACAUUUAUACCAAAGCUGCUUCUUCAGUGAUGGUUUGAUAGGACUGUAAGGGGGCAACACAGUAGUUACCGUGUGUUGUACUGCAGAUUGCAUAGAAAUGAAUAGAAAUAGAUGUGCAGUUCUGUCAAGUGUUAACAGCCAUUAAGAUGAUAAUGUAGAGCGACUGUACAUCUCUGUAAUAUGAGAUCAAAGUAGAAACAGUUCACAUCUCAUGUCCGUAUUUUAUAUUAGAUGUAUCUUGUUUGACCUCAACCCCUUAUAUUUUACUAGCAGAUGUCAUAAAGACCUGCUCUACAAUACAGCAGCAGAAGUUUAAGACAGCCCAGACCACAUGUACUGUACACUUGAUACUGCUUUACAUCAUCCAGCAGCAAAAGAGAAGAUAAAUCCUCUGCAACAAUUUUAGAAACCAUUGGUCAUUUUAUUUAUUCUGUGGUGUUUUCAAAUAAAAUGCACAUUUUGCACUUUGCCGUUUCCACAAUGAGCAACAAAGUGAAGAAAUAUAAUCAAGAUGUUCAACUUCUUAUCUUGUUAUUUUGAAAUGUCCUAAAUAUGUUCUUCAAACCUAAAGUCCAUCUGUUAUUUCAUUUUAAUUUCACCAGUAAAUGCGCGAUCAUGUUCAGAUACCUACGUCUUACAGAGAAGAAUUUUCAUGCACGAUACGAUAACUUCUGAUGUAUGGUCUUUCCUGAAUCCAUUGUGAUUCACCUGUAUGCCUUUGUUUGAU